rnacentral:lncRNA from 1 species
AAUGCCACACCAUACUAAGUGGGGCUGGCUGAGGCCACUAGGAAGGGAGGCAGCGGCCUGUAGCAAGAACGGGCUUUUGGGCAAAAGGACACAAAAAGGAGGGAGCCUGUGAGGGGAGACGGGUGGUCAGACAGCAGCUGUCCUAGACAGAGCUUGGGACAGGCACGGGGCACCUAUGAGAGAGGGCCUGGGGGGAGGGGCUGGGCUGGACCUCACUUCCUUAGCCUCCCCUUGGUGGUGAGAAGGUGUGAGCCCUGCAGAGGCCCAGAAAGGCUGGCGCUGUCUUGGACUCCAAGUACCAGCUGCUCUGAAAGCUCAGGCCAACACUUUUCCGAGUGGAGCUUUUGCUUUGCCCUGUGGCACCACCUGGUGGCAGCAUGGUGUAUCAUCGGGGAAGUUAGGGAAGGGCAAAGACACAGAGUGUGGUAGGACAGGGGGUUCUGAUCUGAUAAAAGUUGCUAACCGAGUACUCACUACGCUGAA